rnacentral:rRNA from 1 species
CCUACGGGGGGCUGCAGUGGGGAAUAUUGGACAAUGGGGGCAACCCUGAUCCAGCCAUGCCGCGUGUGUGAAGAAGGCCCUCGGGUUGUAAAGCACUUUCUGUGAGGAAGAACGCCUGGUGGUUAAUACCCAUCAGGAAAGACAUCACUCACAGAAGAAGCACCGGCUAACUCCGUGCCAGCAGCCGCGGUAAUACGGAGGGUGCGAGCGUUAAUCGGAAUUACUGGGCGUAAAGCGCGCGUAGGUGGCUUGAUAAGCCGGUUGUGAAAGCCCCGGGCUCAACCUGGGAACGGCAUCCGGAACUGUCAAGCUAGAGUGCAGGAGAGGAAGGUAGAAUUCCCGGUGUAGCGGUGAAAUGCGUAGAGAUCGGGAGGAAUACCAGUGGCGAAGGCGGCCUUCUGGACUGACACUGACACUGAGGUGCGAAAGCGUGGGUAGCAAACAGGAUUAGAUACCCCGGUAGUC